rnacentral:lncRNA from 1 species
CGGCUUUAUUGCUCGCAAUUCCACCACAUCGUUGUGGUUAGUUUGUUUCGGUGCCAAAGCCUUCUCAGGGAGGCCUGUAAAAAAUAACUAAAGAACUCCAGAUUCAUGGGACCUCACAAUUGUCAUUUCAGAGUUUCAUUGCAUAGCUCUUCAUAUCCCAAAUUGAAAGUUUCAUCAUUCCUCAGAUACAUCAGCAUUUGCAUCUGAUACCACAAUAUGAGCUCUGAUCGGC